rnacentral:ncRNA from 1 species
UUAGCUAUUUUAGAUAGGCUUGUAGUCGGCAAUUUGGGUACAGGCGGAAAAUUCUUUUCGUAUCUAUUGGGCUAAAGAUUUUUGUUAGCCAUGUAGACAUUUCCUAAAUGGCUGAAAAUGUUGAUUUUAAGAUGUUUUUCAUCCAUUUGGACACUUGUCUGAAUGGAUUUUUUAUUUUUAAAA